rnacentral:lncRNA from 1 species
CAGUAAUAGUGAUAAACAAGCAUAGUAAUAGUGAUAAAUAGUGGUAAUUAAGUGAUAAACAAUAGUGAUAAACAGGUGGGCUUAUAUUUGGGGGGGGGCUUAUAUUUGGAAUAAGGUGAGCAUUAGUACACAGGGGGGGGGCAUAUAUUCGGAGGUUUACAGUAUGGGUGCUCAGCCCAGAGUUUGAAAAUAAUAUUUAUAUACCUUUUAUUUAAUAACAUCACUGUAAAUGCAAGUAUUUUGUUUACAUUCGCAGCCUUUCAUACAUAUACCACAUAGGCGACAGAGCUAAAUGUACACGCCACAAAAACUAUAUAUUCAUACACAUUAAAUGAAUUAAAUACACAUUUGUAUGGAACACAUGAUUUUUUAAUAGUUCAAAUAAAAGACAAAUUUCACAACAAAACAGAUUAAUA